GUAAGAUUGAGUACAUCUGUCCCGCACUUUCCAACCAACAAUAAAAUAGGAGAAUGAACUGCUUCUAAAGAUCAAAAAUAGCUACUGAAAUGUCAGAACUUCUGCUGGGACACAAAUUGUGAUUACUGAGGGCUAUUUGUAGAGAAAGUUGAGCUGUCAAUGGGAAGGAGAAUCCGUACUGGUAUCAGCAGUGACUCAAUGAAUGAAGAGCCUAUUGCUGCAAAGUAAUCUGUCUGCAAAAAAACUACUGAUUCUGCCAGAGGAGAACGCUCAGUGGGAAGCUGAGGUCACAUCAGUACAUCUUUCUAUCACUUUAGAAAUUUUAUUAUGAAGACUAAAGCAUUCACAAAGGGGGGUAGCUAACAUAGAAAUACUGCUCUGCACCUCAUCUUCAUCUCUGUGGUUUUCAAGACUCAAAAACACAAGGCUACAGCUGACCCAACCUAGUGAUGGCUCAAGGCAUGGUGAGUGGCAUGCAGUAGACGACCAUGGUCAUCAUUUCAACCAGCGUUUCUGCCGCACGGAACAGGAUUUAGCAAGAUUAAUGAAAGUGAACAGUGGAUUACCAGGAGGAGCGGCAGAGAGCAGUAUAUAGCCCUGGUAAUGUCAGACAUGGAAAGAGGAGGACUGAACUUCAUAUGGUACAUUUCUGACCUGUCUUCACUGAGAAGCAAGAAGUAAUUUCCACUGUGAUGCAGCAGUUUUCAAAAAGAACUUUGAAAUUUUUGAAGUGAAGCUGGUAAGACAGAUAAAGCACACUCAUGAUAUAUUAUUCCAUUUGUCCAUUGCGUAUUCAGUAAAUUUGAAGAAGACAGUCACUCUCCAGUUCCUAAAAAUAAUAUUCCUUGGGAUUUCAUUUAAUACCAAUAAUAUACAUUACCAGUGCGUACUUUAUUUUAUUUAUUUAUUUUGUGGGGUGAUGGUCUAUAACUUGUUCGUUCUUUAUGUUCUUUUAAUAUGUUGUAGACACUUGCUAUGCAUGCACUAGUUCCACUGCCUUAAAAUUACUUCAAAGGAAAUGCUGAAACCUUUCAUUUCCCUUUAAGGGUAAUAUUAACAACACAAACUUAUUUUUUUUUUUCUUUAAUCUGUUGGUGGAUGAGCAGUUUUCACAGUGGCUGAACAGUUUUCACAGAGUAUUACCAACCUGCACUAAUGAUGUUUGCUUUCUCUUUCUAGUUUUUGAUGGGCAGGUUUCUUAUGAAAUAUUGUG
ensembl:lncRNA